rnacentral:rRNA from 1 species
GCAUAUCAAUAAGCGGAGGAAAAGAAACCAACAGGGAUUGCCCUAGUAACGGCGAGUGAAGCGGCAACAGCUCAAAUUUGAAAUCUGGCUCUCGGGCCCGAGUUGUAAUUUGUAGAGGAUACUUUUGAUGCGGUGCCUUCCGAGUUCCCUGGAACGGGACGCCAUAGAGGGUGAGAGCCCCGUCUGGUUGGAUGCCAAAUCUCUGUAAAGUUCCUUCAACGAGUCGAGUAGUUUGGGAAUGCUGCUCUAAAUGGGAGGUAUAUGUCUUCUAAAGCUAAAUACCGGCCAGAGACCGAUAGCGCACAAGUAGAGUGAUCGAAAGAUGAAAAGCACUUUGAAAAGAGAGUUAAAAAGUACGUGAAAUUGUUGAAAGGGAAGCGUUUAUGACCAGACUUGGGCUUGGUUAAUCAUCUGGGGUUCUCCCCAGUGCACUUUUCCAGUCCAGGCCAGCAUCAGUUUUCCCCGGGGGAUAAAGGCGGCGGGAAUGUGGCUCUCUUCGGGGAGUGUUAUAGCCCACCGUGUAAUACCCUGGGGGGGACUGAGGUUCGCGCAUCUGCAAGGAUGCUGGCGUAAUGGUCAUCAACGACCCGUCUUGAAACACGGACCAAGGAGUCGUCUUCGUAUGCGAGUGUUCGGGUGUCAAACCCCUACGCGUAAUGAAAGUGAACGCAGGUGAGAGCUUCGGCGCAUCAUCGACCGAUCCUGAUGUUCUCGGAUGGAUUUGAGUAAGAGCAUACGGGGCCGGACCCGAAAGAAGGUGAACUAUGCCUGUAUAGGGUGAAGCCAGAGGAAACUCUGGUGGAGGCUCGCAGCGGUUCUGACGUGCAAAUCGAUCGUCAAAUAUGGGCAUGGGGGCGAAAGACUAAUCGAACCUUCUAGUAGCUGGUUUCCGCG